rnacentral:piRNA from 1 species
UACACGUGUGCUGCUUUGGGAUAGUGAGG